GACAGAGGUCCCGAGCGUUAGGCGGAAUCACUGGGCUUAAAGCGUGUGUAGGCGGAGUGCUAAGUACCUUGUGAAAUCCCACGGCUCAACCGUGGAACUGCUUGGUAUACUGGUUCUCUUGAGCCACCUAGGGGCAACCGGAACAAACGGUGGAGCGGUGAAAUGCGUAGAUAUCGUUUGGAACGCCAAUGGUGAAAACAGGUUGCUGGGGGGUGUGCUGACGCUGAGACACGAAAGCCAGGGGAGCAAACGGG
rnacentral:rRNA from 1 species